rnacentral:rRNA from 1 species
CUGCCGUUGACAAAACGGAGGAAGUGGGGAUGACGUCAAAUCAUCAUACCCCUUAUGUUCUGGGCUACACACGUGCUACAAUGGCCGGUACAGACGGACGCAAAGCCGCGAGGUGGAGCAAAUCCUAAAAAGCCGGUCUCAGUUCGGAUUGCAGGCUGCAAUUCGCCUGCAUGAAGUCGGAAUCGCUAGUAAUCGCAGGUCAGCAUACUCGCGGUCCGAAUACGUUCCGGGCCUU